rnacentral:rRNA from 1 species
UACAGAGGGUGCGAGCGUUGUCCGGAAUUAUUGGGCGUAAAGGGCUCGUAGGCGGUUUGUCGCGUCGGGAGUGAAAACUCAGGGCUUAACCCUGAGCCUGCUUCCGAUACGGGCAGACUAGAGGUAUGCAGGGGAGAACGGAAUUCCUGGUGUAGCGGUGAAAUGCGCAGAUAUCAGGAGGAACACCGGUGGCGAAGGCGGUUCUCUGGGCAUUACCUGACGCUGAGGAGCGAAAGUGUGGGGAGCGAACAGG